AACGAACGCUGGCGGCAUGCCUAACACAUGCAAGUCGAACGAGACCUUCGGGUCUAGUGGCGCACGGGUGCGUAACGCGUGGGAAUCUGCCCUUCGGUUCGGAACAACAGUUAGAAAUGACUGCUAAUACCGGAUAAUGACGUAAGUCCAAAGAUUUAUCGCCGAAGGAUGAGCCCGCGUAAGAUUAGGUAGUUGGUGGGGUAAUGGCCUACCAAGCCGACGAUCUUUAGCUGGUCUGAGAGGAUGAUCAGCCACACUGGGACUGAGACACGGCCCAGACUCCUACGGGAGGCAGCAGUGGGGAAUAUUGGACAAUGGGCGAAAGCCUGAUCCAGCAAUGCCGCGUGAGUGAUGAAGGCCUUAGGGUUGUAAAGCUCUUUUACCAGGGAUGAUAAUGACAGUACCUGGAGAAUAAGCUCCGGCUAAACUCCGUGCCAGCAGCCGCGGUAAU
rnacentral:rRNA from 1 species